GUCGAAUCUUGUUUCGCUCGUUUACAAAGAGAAUAGCUUUGACAUUUUGCUUUGAAAUGCCGACGAAUGUACCUGGUUUCUAGAACCCCACAACAAAGGAACGGACCUCCCAAUGCAACACAUUAAUUAACCUUCCUAUCUCUUGACUGUAGGCAAAAAAAAAAAAAGAAAAAGUAAAGGGCACUUUAGUCCCAUUAGGUGAAAAAUUGAAAGAAAAUAGCAGCAGCA
rnacentral:lncRNA from 1 species